CUCCGGGUACGCUACCUGGUGAAACUCGACUUCAGGGACAAGCGCUCCGUAGUUUCUGCGCUCCCGGUCCGCUACCUGGUGAAAAUCAACUUCCAGGACUAGCGCUCCGUGGUUUGUGGACUCCGGGUAUAACCGAGGUUAGCGGUGGUCGUUGGAGGUAGUUGGCGGGGGUUGCCGGUGGUCGGAGGUGGUUAGAGGUGGUGACGGGUGAUCGUGCGGGACGAGGAGGAAGACAAGGAGGAGAAGGACGAGCAUUUAUGCAUGGUAUAACCCGAGGUGGUCAGCGGUGGUCGCUGGAGGUGGUCGAAGGUGGUAAGAAGUGUUUGCGGCUGAUCGAGGGCGACGAGAAGGACGGAGGUCGUCAAAGGUGAUUGAGCGUAGUGCGAUGGUGGUCAGGUGUUGGGGUGGUGUGGUCAUGGGUUGUU
rnacentral:lncRNA from 1 species